AAAGAGGGGUGUUUUGCUUCCAAAAGAGGCAUCUGUCCAUAUUGUUUUUGCUUUGCUUUCGUCUUUCUUAGCCCCUUUUCUCCCGUCAACGCCUAUUCUUCCACAAUUCUCCUCGAUCUUUGUCUUGAUUGCGGUUUACGGCCAUGGCCACCAGCGGAAACAAGAACAUUAAUGCCAAAUUAGUGCUUCUUGGUGAUGUUGGUGCUGGGAAGUCUAGUCUAGUGUUGCGUUUUGUUAAAGGGCAAUUUGUAGAGUUUCAGGAAUCAACGAUUGGUGCUGCAUUUUUCUCUCAAACAUUGGCUGUAAAUGAUGCCACUGUGAAAUUUGAAAUCUGGGAUACAGCUGGGCAGGAGAGAUACCACAGUUUGGCUCCAAUGUAUUACAGGGGUGCAGCUGCAGCUAUUA
rnacentral:misc_RNA from 1 species